UUUAGAUCAAGAGAUACAAAUGUUGGCUUUAGCCUUGGAUAGAUCACUUUAUAUCUGUGUGAACUUGGGUGGUCAAAUAUGUCUGUGUAAGAAGGGCUAUAUUAAAGAAGAAACCCUGUAAUUUUAUUCAAAUAAUGAGAUACUUCAAACAUCCCAGUUGGCCAACACACUUCUUGACUUAUUAAGGAGGGUGAGGAAGAAAUCAUCUUUACCUGGGGAUAUGAUAUAGAAGAAAUCUUUAAAUUCAUCCAUCCAAACUUCUGCCA